rnacentral:rRNA from 1 species
UACGUAGGGGGCUAGCGUUGUCCGGAAUCAUUGGGCGUAAAGCGCGUGUAGGCGGUCCGGUAAGUCCGCUGUGAAAGUCGGGGGCUCAACCCUCGGAUGCCGGUGGAUACUGUCGGGCUUGAGUACGGAAGAGGCGAGUGGAAUUCCUGGUGUAGCGGUGAAAUGCGCAGAUAUCAGGAGGAACACCAGUGCGAAGGCAGGCUCUGGGACGUUAACUGACGCUGAGACGAGAACUGGGGAGCAAACAGG